CCUCUCCAAGUUAACUCAGGGCAGGCUAUUAACCUGCUUGUUGCUCCUUGGUGACAGAGGUUUACGACCGAAGGCCUUCAUCCCUCACGCGGCGUUGCACCAUCAGGGUUGCCCCCAUUGUGAA
rnacentral:rRNA from 1 species